CCCAGCUACUGGGCGCCGUGGCGGAGGCGGGGUGGCAGAGCCCGGUGCGGCUCUGCGCUGCAUCCUGGCACUAGGCCGGGACAGGCAAAGAACAGGAGAAACCAGGCGGCCACCCAUGCGGGAGGCCCUGUGAUGACAGGGAAUUGAUGAGGUCGGACAGAUGACCCCCGCUGGUGACCCAUGCUACAGAGGAAGUUUGUGUGUGUAGGUGAAAUUGAUGUCUGGCCAUAUUUGCUGAUCAAAAUCUUGCCCUUCCAAGCCUACCUGUUGCCCAGUGGUCAGGGCGAUCUGCUGGGUUGUGGGAGACUGAGCUGAAGGUG